rnacentral:rRNA from 1 species
AGCGAACGCUGGCGGCAGGCUUAACACAUGCAAGUCGAGCGGGCGUAGCAAUACGUCAGCGGCAGACGGGUGAGUAACACGUGGGAACGUACCUUUUGGUUCGGAACAACACAGGGAAACUUGUGCUAAUACCGGAUAAGCCCUUACGGGGAAAGAUUUAUCGCCGAAAGAUCGGCCCGCGUCUGAUUAGCUUGUUGGUGAGGUAACGGCUCACCAAGGCGACGAUCAGUAGCGGUCUGAGAGGAUGAUCAGCCACACUGGGACUGAGACACGGCCCAGACUCCUACGGGAGGCAGCAGUGGGGAAUAUUGGACAAUGGGGGCAACCCUGAUCCAGCCAUGCCGCGUGAGUGAUGAAGGCCCUAGGGUUGUAAGGCUCUUUUGUGCGGGGAAGAUAAUGACGGUACCGCAAGAAUAAGCCUCGGCUAACUUCGUGCCAGCAGCCCGCAGUAAC